rnacentral:rRNA from 1 species
AACGAACGCUGGCGGCAUGCCUAACACAUGCAAGUAGAACGCGGAAUUCGGAUCUAGUGGCGCAGGGGUAAGUACCAAGUGGGAACUAGCGCUUAGGUAAGCAACCACUCAGCGGAGGAUGAGCAAUUACAACGAUAUCUAAUAGGGCAUAAGAUUUAUCGCUUCAUGACAGGCCCGCGUUGGAUUAGCUAGUAGGUCAGGUAGAGGCACACCAAGGCGACUAUCCAUAGCUGGUCUGAGAGGAUGACCAGCCACACUGGGAAUGAGACACGUCCCAGACUCCUACGGGUGGCAGCAGUGGUGAAUAUUGAACAAUGGGCGAAAGCCUGAGGCAGCCAUGCCGCGUGAAUGAUGAAGGCCUUAGGAUUGUAUAUCUCUUUUACCCGGGAUGAUAAUGACGGUACCUGGAGAAUAAGCUCCGGCUAACUCCGUG